rnacentral:rRNA from 1 species
AACGAACGCUGGCGGCAGGCCUAACACAUGCAAGUCGAGCGAGAUCUUCGGGUCUAGCGGCGGACGGGUGAGUAACGCGUGGGAAUAUGCCUCUUGGUACGGAAUAGCCUCGGGAAACUGGGAGUAAUACCGUAUGUGCCCUUUGGGGGAAAGAUUUAUCGCCAAGGGAUUAGCCCGCGUUGGAUUAGGUAGUUGGUGGGGUAAUGGCCUACCAAGCCGACGAUCCAUAGCUGGUUUGUGAGGAUGAUCAGCCACACUGGGACUGAGACACGGCCCAGACUCCGACGGGAGGCAGCAGUAGGGAAUCUUAGACAAUGGGGGCAACCCUGGUCUAGCCAUGCCGCGUGAGUGAUGAAGGCCUUAGGGUUGUAAAGCUCUUUCAGCUGGGAAGAUAAUGACGGUACCAGCAGAAGAAGCCCCGGCUAACUCCGUG